CAGCAAUGUGUCCUGAUUGUAGUGGCGAAAGGGUGCGUAACACGUGGGCAAUUUGCCGUGAAGUUCGGAAUAACCUGCUGAAAAGUAGACUAAUACCGGAUGUGAUCAUCAGAGGACAUCCUCUGAUUAUUAAAGGUGGGGACCUUCGGGCCCGCCGCUUUACGAUAAGCCCGCGGCCUAUCAGCUUGUUGGUGAGGUAACGGCUCACCAAGGCUAAGACGGGUAGCCGGUCUGAGAGGACGAUCGGCCACACUGGAACUGAGAUACGGUCCAGACACCUACGGGUGGCAGCAGUCGAGAAUCAUUCACAAUGGGCGAAAGCCUGAUGGUGCGACGCCGCGUGGGGGAUGAAGAGUUUCGAUUCGUAAACCCCUGUCAUCUGUGAGCAAUAGCUUUUGGCUAAUACCUAAAAGUUUGAUAGUAGCAGAAGAGGAAGGGACGGCUAACUCUGUGCCAGCAGCCGCGGUAAUACAGAGGUCCCAAGCGUUGUUCGGAUUUACUGGGCGUAAAGGGUGCGUAGGUGGUAUGGAUAGUUUGAUGUGAAAGCUCCGAGCUCAACUCGGAAAUUGCAUUGAAUACUACCAAACUUGA
rnacentral:rRNA from 1 species